AUUGAACGCUGGCGGCAGGCCUAACACAUGCAAGUCGGACGAGUGGCGGACGGGUGAGUAAUGUCUGGGGAACUGCCUGAUGGAGGGGGAUCACUACUGGAAACGGUAGCUAAUACCGCAUACCAUCAGAUGUGCCCAUAUGGGAUUAGCUGGUAGGUGGGGUAACGGCUCACCAAGGCGACGAUCCCUAGCGGGUCUGAGAGGAUGACCAGCCACACUGGAACUGAGACACGGCCCAGACUCCUACGGGAGGCAGCAGUGGGGAAUAUUGCACAAUGGGCGCAAGCCUGAUGCAGCCAUGCCGCGUGUAUGAAGAAGGCCUUCGGGUUGUAAAGUACUUUCAGCGGGGAGGCGUUACCCGCAGAAGAAGCACCGGCUAACUCCGUGCCAGCAGCCGCGGUAAUAC
rnacentral:rRNA from 1 species